UUCACUUUGGAUCUGCGUCCAUCUUUCUCCAAAUACUUGACCUGUGUGAAAGGAGAAUGGAGAGGGAAUAUUAGGUGUUUAAAGCCCUGUACAGUGACGGUGGAGGAAAUGGAAAGAAGAGAUAUAGAGUUUGCCUUUGUUAAUCGACAAAAGAUGUUCAUACCCCAUGAUGAUCACAUCAGUUUUAUGUGUAAGAGGGGCAAAGUUUCAGGAGAUAUUCCCCUAAAACAACAGUGUAAUGAUGGAGUGAUUACUUUACCUGAGUGUGUGAGACAGUGAGAGUAAAACAUUGCUAAAUCACUACUAAGUAAAACUAAUGGAGCAGAUCAAAAUUAAAUAAAAAUGUCCCAAUC